ACUCAGCAGCCUUGGAGCGAGGAGAGCACCUUCCUGAGAGUGGCACCUGGAGACCUACAGCCCUAUUCCCAUCCCACAUCUGGAGCAGCUGAAACCUGCACGGCUGGGGCAUGCUCCUACUUGGAUGCUUUUUCUGUUUCCUUCCUCUAAGGCUUGUUCAGGAAGACCGAGGAGGCAGCAGGGAGGUGUGGUAGCACUAGUUAGUGGCAGUUUGAGCAGCAGAAUUCCAGCUUUUCUCCUGGCUGGCAGGUGGAGGUGAGGGGAAAGCAGCCUGACACAGAACACUUCCUUUUGUUAACGAUCCAUGCAUUGUUCCAUGUUUCUCCACAGAAACCAUCCAUGAGUCCUGUCAGUUGCUAAUAAGGUCCCUCCUUUACAAGGUCAGCUUUUUACCUGGGCAUCUCCACUUUGCCCAAGCCUCAUUACAGUCAGUCAGCACCUUCCCUAAAUCUGCUGCCUCUUGUGGGCUGACUGCUCUGAACUGGGACUAUCACUGGCUGAGAUGCUGAACCCCCUUGGAGGUCUGAGGCUGCAGCUUUCCAGGAUGCAAGUCCUCAGCUAAUCCAGCAAAGAAAGCCAGGACAGCAUUUCAAGGCUUUAAGUUACCAGUGGUUGUGUUCCUGACUCAGUCGGCAAGAGAAUGCUUCCUGAAAUUAAUUGCUUUGGGGGUAAUUAACAUCAUCCAUGAUCAUGAAGCAAUGUGAGCAACAAAGCUUCUGGUUUUUCUCAUCUGCCUAGGGAGGAGGUGCAGGUCUGGGACCUGAGUCAAAUUGCUUUGAGCAAGAGAAGACUUGAAAAGGAUGACUCUUGUGCUCUGAAGGAAAGAGGAAGGGAGAAGCCCUGUCCAGACUAACAUAAAAUGUUGGGACCCACUGUCCUGGCUCACUGCAUGAACAGAGCACAACAGCCUGGCAUGAUGGGCAAGCAUGCAAACACUGGAGACUUAUUUCCUGGAGUGCUUCUCUUCUGAUCAGUAACACCAGGUUUCAGGGGAUCUGGCUUACUCUAUCAUUCCUUGAGAGCCCUGACCUGAAGGUGUGGCAUCACAAUUAUCUGACUGCCUGGAGACCUGCGAUGGGACUCAACACCUGACCAGAAGGCACUUGAUAUCAAUCAACUGCAUGAAAUAAUAGCAAGAAAGAGGAUAUCUAAGAGAUCCAGUUACUGUCCUUGUGGCCUUGAUUUCCCCUGAGGAUGGCAGCAAGAGUCUCUCUCCUCUGAAGAGUGAGCAACAAUCAACAGAAUACCUUUGAGUGUGGGAAUGCAGUAAACUCCUCAAAACAGGUAUGGGUUAUAUGAAAGUUUUUGGAGGCAGAACUGAUGGCUUGAUUAGAACAGCAACAACAUAGAAGUACAGAAGCAUUCAAAACCUGUGAAAUAUUUAUCUGCUUUGCUGUGAAACUAAGCUUUGUGCUGGGGAAUGCGAAAGGAACUUACUUUCCAUGUGAACGAAGUUCCAGUGAGCAAGGCUGAAUCUCCUGAUGAAUCCCUUGGAGCCACCACUCUAUCAACACAGCUACUGUUGAAAUGAAGGACCCAAAGUGAUUUGUUUUGGAAAGAAAAUCCUCAAGCCAUGCCUGAAACAUCCUUUGUUUUGAGACCUUCCUGUCCCUCAACCCUGUUGGGAAUUUCCUGUGUCUGAGGUUUUGGGUUUUAUGGAGGGGGAUUAACCACCUGUAAUUGUCAAUACCACAUGGAUUAUCCCUUUGAAAUAAGCCCAACAACAUGUUAUAAGAUUUGCAUUAAUAGGGAAUGUUCUCUAAGGUUCAACAAGGCCCAGGAGAAUGUUCUGCACAAUUCUGGAAGGUAAUCUAUCCCAUGAGCUAUCUUCAUACCUGGAAUUUCCCCUUUCCCCCUUGGUGGGAACACAAAAAAUAACAACAAAUUAUAUGAACGCAUUUUAUCCUGUCAGUAGGAAAAAGUCUUAAAUACACA